UACGUGCCAGCAGCCGCGGUAAUACGUAGGGUGCAAGCGUUAUCCGGAAUUAUUGGGCGUAAAGAGCUCGUAGGCGGUCUGUCGCGUCUGCUGUGAAAUCCCGAGGCUCAACCUCGGGCUUGCAGUGGGUACGGGCAGACUAGAGUGCGGUAGGGGAGAUUGGAAUUCCUGGUGUAGCGGUGGAAUGCGCAGAUAUCAGGAGGAACACCGAUGGCGAAGGCAGAUCUCUGGGCCGUAACUGACGCUGAGGAGCGAAAGGGUGGGGAGCAAACAGGCUUAGAUACCCUGGUAGUCCACCCCGUAAACGUUGGGAACUAGUUGUGGGGUCCUUUCCACGGAUUCCGUGACGCAGCUAACGCAUUAAGUUCCCCGCCUGGGGAGUACGGCCGCAAGGCUAAAACUCAAAGGAAUUGACGGGGACCCGCACAAGCGGCGGAGCAUGCGGAUUAAUUCGAUGCAACGCGAAGAACCUUACCAAGGCUUGACAUACGCGAGAACGCCCUAGAAAUAGGGAACUUCUUUGGACACUUCGUGAACUAGGUGGUGCAAUGGUGUCGUCAAGCUCG
rnacentral:rRNA from 1 species